UCUGCCCGGCCGGCGCGCGCCGCUUCCGCCCGGGUGGGGAGGGCCUCCCCUCCCCCUAUGGAGAAACACUCUCGUCAGGCCUUCCUUGGCCUGUUACACACCUCCCCAGCGUCGCCAUCGGGAACCCCGGGCUGUGCCGAGCAGGGUAGAAUGGGGCCGUCUGCAGAGAGAAAACUUAAUGAUUCAGGGAUCAGAUGCCCUGAAGAGUAGAAGGCUUCGGUCCCAACUAGUGUUGCCAAAGCAGCAUACUAAUUCCAUGCCAUGGUCCUGGGUCAAGAUCUGCACAAUCUGAUUGGCCAUAUCACCUCGGAUGGCAAGGGAAUGGAAGUGAUCAAAAUCAUGGAGUCCCAGCUUUCGGAGACGCCUUGCAGCUGCUCGGUAACACUUCCAAGGCUGUGGCUCCACAAGGAGGUAGCGGCAGAGGGAGGAAAGAUGGGCCAGGAACUCCCACAGGCCAUGGUCCCCAUGGUUAAGAUGAAUCCACAUGGUUAUUGACAUACAGAAGCCAAUGUCAAAAACUGAACGUCCAAAUUGACUUAAGAAGGAGCUCAAGAGAACCUUCCGGGUCCUUUGAUUCAUGAAGUCCAGGGUGAUAAAAUUCAAGCCAUCAGGAAAAGGACAUUCUUUUUUAGCUCGCUCCACCAGGACUGGAUCUAUGUCACAGCAUAGGAGACGGAGUUCUCUGGAGGCAUCUGAGCAGUUCUCCCCAUCAUGUAAGGAAAGGAAGUGUUUGUAUAGAGCCACACUCAGAUCCUAGAGGAAUCCAAAAGAGUCAUUGCAGUAUUCAACAUUGAAUGGAAGACAAAUCUCUCAUCCUCUAAGACUGCCAUACUUACUUCUGGCUUUAUAGGAUGUGAGCCUCCUAAUUAUAACCUACAGAGGUUGUAGUUUUUCUUGAGCAGACUCUCAGCACCCUCCAGGGGUCAUAGACUGUAAAUGCACUAUCCCUAUAUUUUCUUGAUAACUGCUGGUUGGGUUGUGUGGUUCAAAGUGAUAGUUCAAUGAUACUGCAAAGGAGCCUAGAGCAAUAAAUAAUAUGCUGGUAAACACAUCUUUAAAUAUA